GGGAGGCCGGGAGGGGUCCCUGGGCGGGGAGUUGCUGCGCAUCUGUUGUGUGUGUGCGUCUGUCUGUCUGUUCAGGUCUGUUUUAGGCUGUGUCUGUCUGUCUGUCUGGGUCUGUUUCAGGCUGUGUCUGUCUGUCUGUCCGGGUCUGUUUCAGGCUGUGUCUGUCUGUCUGUCCGGGUCUGUUUCAGGCUGUGUCUGUCUGUCUGUCCGGGUCUGUUUCAGGCUGUGUCUGUCUGUCUGUCCGGGUCUGUUUCAGGCUGUAUGUGUGUCUGCUCUUUGCUUCUGCUCCUGGCUCUGUGUGUAUUUCCCGGGUCCU
rnacentral:lncRNA from 1 species